rnacentral:rRNA from 1 species
ACGGGAGUGGCAAGCGUUAUCCGGAAUUAUUGGGCGUAAAGCGUCCGCAGGCGGUUUUGUAAGUCUGUUGUUAAAGCGUGGAGCUUAACUCCAUUUCAGCAAUGGAAACUGCAAGACUAGAGUGUGGUAGGGGCAGAGGGAAUUCCCGGUGUAGCGGUGAAAUGCGUAGAUAUCGGGAAGAACACCAGUGGCGAAGGCGCUCUGCUGGGCCAUAACUGACGCUCAUGGACGAAAGCCAGGGGAGCGAAAGGG